UGAUGUAUUCUGAUCUGAUAUAGUAUGAUUUCUCUAUUUUACCAAAAUAAAAAGAAGAAGAAGAAAAACUGAGUGAAUUAAAAUGUUGUCAACCCUAUCUUUAAAUAUCACUAUUUUAAAUACCUUAACACUACAAAAUAAACUAUGAAAUGAACACCUUAAGUAAUGUACCCAAAAAAAUAAAAAUAAUUAUGACGAGAAAAACAUAAAUACGCAAAUGGUCAAAUCAUAAAACAAAUUGGCUUUUCAAAGUUGUUUUAGUGAAGGAGAUCCGGAUCUAGGCUACUCUCCCCCCCCCACCUGUUCUUCUUUUGUCCAAAAUCUGUAAAGACAAACAAAUACCCUUCUAAAAGGGAUUUAUAGUUUAUAAUAACAAAAAGGGCAAAAAAUGAAAAAGAAAAGAAAGGGAGUGAGAAUGCGAAUACUGAAGUGCAAAAUAUAUAAAUAAACUAUGAAAAACAAAGAAAAAAAAUUUCAAGAAUUUGGGUGCAGAAGCUGUUAUCUCUUCUUCUUCUUCUUCUUCCACUUCAUCAAGCUUUGUUGUUUUUGUUUUCUUAUGGGUUUUUAGAGAGGAAGAAGCUUAACUCAUUAUAUUGCUCAAAAUAAUUGUACUAUAAUUAUAAUAAUAUUAAGGAAUAGCCAUUAUUGUCCUUUCUGAAGCAAAGUCCACUCUUUGCACUCUUUUACUUGCUUUUCUUCCCUAUCAUUUUCUUCUCUCUCUCUCUUUCUCCCUUGAAGUGAAGGCUUCUAUUUUAUCUUUGGGGGGAUUUAGAGUUUCAGCACUUCAGCUUGGUGUUUAAAAAAAAAAAAGAAAGAAAAAAAGAAAGAAAGAGAAAUUGGGUUCUCCAUGGAUUCAUAUGAAGCAACGAGGAUAGUGUUUUCGAGGAUCCAAAACUUAGACCCUGAAAAUGCUUCGAAAAUCAUGGGUUAUCUUCUUAUUCAAGACCAUGGAGAGAAGGAAAUGAUACGUUUAGCCUUUGGCCCUGAAGCUCACAUCCACUCUUUAAUCCUCAAAGCCAAAUCCCAUUUGGGACUUUCCAUUUCAAACCCACCAACGCCUUCUACUCCCUCUUCUCCUUCUCCUUUCUCUUCAAGGCCGAGCCCUUUAUCCAUCCCUUCUUCCUCUUCAAGGCUUACCAAAGGCUUGGAGAUUCCAAAUCCUUCUUCUCCAUCUACUACCACUUGGCCUCCUCUUAACCAUUGUCCCAUCAGUCCUAGCUCAACCUCCUCUCUUUCAUAUGCAAGUAUUGUCAAUGGAAGCAGUAACACUGCAAAUGGCUCUGGAUCUUUAUCCUCAGUUCCUUCAUGUGUAAACACUUGCAAUGACAAUGAACUCAUCGAUGACUACCAGUUCCAGGACCACCUUUCGUUUCUCAACGACGCCAAACCUGAGGAUUUGUUCAGUCCUCGGCUUGACUUGGCAAUGAGUACUACUCCAAGUGGCUACGCUGAUUCCCUUUUACAUAGGAGAAGUUUCUCAGUUCCUGGUCUGUGUUUUGGAGCUGAAGAUGUCAACUCUGGGAUUGGAUGGAAGCCUUGUUUGUACUUUGCAAGAGGGUUUUGUAAGAAUGGUACUAGCUGUAGGUUUCUUCAUGGAGAUUGUGCAGAUGCUGCUGCUCUCGUUGGUUCUCCAAGUAAGCUUAAUGAGUUGGAACAAUACCAGGAGCUACUUAGAUCGAAAGCUCUUCUGCAACAGCAGCAUCAGCAAAAGCUAGCUUCAGCUUCUCAGCUUAUGUCUGGGGCUUCUUUCCAAUACAGCAAGUGUGUUAAUCUACUUCUCCAACAACAAAAUGACUCUCAUAGAUCAGCGAUGGCUGCAUUAAUGAUAGGAGAUGAGCUUCAUAAGUUUGGACGGUGCCGUGCUGAAAGAAAUGAUUUUUCAGCGAUGGGAUUAGGAGCUGCAAUCAAUCCAGGCUCUAGACAGAUUUAUUUGACAUUCCCAGCUGACAGUACCUUUAAAGAAGAAGAUGUUUCAAAUUACUUCAGCAUCUAUGGACCAGUACAAGAUGUGAGGAUUCCUUACCAGCAAAAGAGGAUGUUUGGGUUUGUUACAUUUGUGUAUCCCGAGACAGUGAAGCUCAUCUUAGCUAAAGGCAACCCACAUUUCGUUUGCGAUUCUCGUGUGCUCGUUAAGCCUUACAAGGAGAAGGGGAAAGUCCAAGAGAAGAAGCAACAACAACAAUCGGAGCGUGGAGAGUAUUCAGCAUGCUCGAGUCCGUCUGGGGUUGAUUCGAGGGAGCCAUUUGAUCUCCAUCUCGGAUCGAGAAUGUUUUACAAUACUCAAGAGAUGCUACUGAGAAGGAAAUUAGAGGAGCAGGCUGAUUUGCAGCAAGCCAUUGAGCUUCAAGGAAGAAGACUAAUGAAUCUGCAGCUGCUGGACUUAAAGAACCAUCACCAUUCUCAGUUCCAACACGGUUUUUCCACUGCCUCACCAGUUCCUUCACCGACUGUAUCCCGUACUCCGAACAAUCAAGCACUUAUUUUUCCCGUUGAUGGCAUCGAUCAAGAAUUCCCCCAAGAGAAUGGUGGUUGCCCGAUCUCAGCUGUUUCCGAGUUGGCUGCUGCUAUCAAUGAUGAUAAGCAGCUGGAGGAUUAUAAAAAUGACAAUGGUAAUAGUAACACCAAGGGGAAGGCCAACACUGAAGAAAGUGAUCUCCCUGAAAGCUUGGAUCACAUUCUCCCUGAUAACCUAUUCGCUUCUCCGAAGAAAUCAGCCAGUGAUCACUUCACUGUCUUCUCUACCGCAUCUGCAGAGGCCGUAGAGGCUGAUGACAAAACCGGAACUCCUCCGACUACAUCUUGUUCUAAUGGUAACCCUUCACCGGCCAAUGCCUCCGGCCUCAAUAUGGCUUCUCUUAAAACAUAUCUUCUUCAAAUGCCCAGUCUUUUGCUAUAAAAAAAAGGUUUUCUUCUGGCCAAGGAACCAUUGGCAUGUAGUUAGCCAGCAAUGGAGGAAAAUUGACUUUGCCAGGUGGCAAUUAAGCAAGCAUAUACAAGGAAGAUUAAACCCGAAAAAAGCUGUAUAGGCAAAACCAUACCCACAACAAAGAAAAAUGAUCUGUAAGACAAGAUCAGUGCAAGAUCAUCACCGCCAUCAUCAUCAUCAUCAUCAACAAUACAAUACUACUUACAAUCAAAUACAUAAUAUAUGUAUAGGUAAAGGACAGAGGAACUGAUUUAUGCAAGUGGGGUCUUUGGCCUUUCCUUACCGUGACACACCCAAGUUGCUGGACCACACAACAGAUAGUGUAGAAACAAACAAAGGCUGGUAGUAACUAGUAACUAGUAACUCUUUUUUUUUUUUUUUUUAUCUCAUAUUGUAAUUUUUUUUUCAUUUCCUAAUCUUUUCUUUUACCCUCCUUUUUUCAAAGUGAGGUGAAAAAAGAGAACUAAGAAAAAAAAUCUGUAUGAACUAUGUCACUUUGUGUACAGAAUUAGACCCCCCAAGAAGUUCUAAAA